GGAUUAGAUACCCUGGUAGUCCACGCCCUAAACGAUGUCAACUAGACGUUGGGACCGCUUAAGGUCUUAGUGUCACAGCUAACGCGCUAAGUUGACCGCCUGGGGAGUACGGCCGCAAGGUUGAAACUCAAAGGAAUUGACGGGGGCCCGCACAAGCGGUGGAGCAUGUGGUUUAAUUCGAUGCAACGCGAAGAACCUUACCAGCCCUUGACAUCCUCGGAACUUGUCAGAGAUGACUUGGUGCCUUCGGGAACCGAGAGACAGGUGCUGCAUGGCUGUCGUCAGCUCGUGUCG
rnacentral:rRNA from 1 species